GACGAACGCUGGCGGCGUGCCUAAUACAUGCAAGUAGAACGCUGAAGAGAGGAGCUUGCUCUUCUUGGAUGAGUUGCGAACGGGUGAGUAACGCGUAGGUAACCUGCCUUGUAGCGGGGGAUAACUAUUGGAAACGAUAGCUAAUACCGCAUAACAAUGGAUGACACAUGUCAUUUAUUUGAAAGGGGCAAUUGCUCCACUACAAGAUGGACCUGCGUUGUAUUAGCUAGUAGGUGAGGUAACGGCUCACCUAGGCGACGAUACAUAGCCGACCUGAGAGGGUGAUCGGCACACUGGGACUGAGACACGGCCAGACUCCUACGGGAGGCAGCAGUAGGGAAUCUUCGGCAAUGGGGGCAACCCUGACCGAGCAACGCCGCGUGAGUGAAGAAGGUUUCGGAUCGUAAAGCUACUGUUGUAAGUCAAGAACGAGUGUGAGAGUGGAAAGUCACACUGUGACGGUAGCUUACCA
rnacentral:rRNA from 1 species